UAGAAGGAAAUGCAGAUGAGGCAGAGGGG
rnacentral:piRNA from 1 species